rnacentral:rRNA from 1 species
GCGCGCGAUACAGGGUGACAGCCCCGUACACAAAAAUGCACAUGCUGUGAGCUCGAUGAGUAGGGCGGGACACGUGGUAUCCUGUCUGAAUAUGGGGGGACCAUCCUCCAAGGCUAAAUACUCCUGACUGACCGAUAGUGAACCAGUACCGUGAGGGAAAGGCGAAAAGAACCCCGGCGAGGGGAGUGAAAAAGAACCUGAAACCGUGUACGUACAAGCAGUGGGAGCACGCUUAGGCGUGUGACUGCGUACCUUUUGUAUAAUGGGUCAGCGACUUAUAUUCUGUAGCAAGGUUAACCGAAUAGGGGAGCCGAAGGGAAACCGAGUCUUAACUGGGCGUUAAGUUGCAGGGUAUAGACCCGAAACCCGGUGAUCUAGCCAUGGGCAGGUUGAAGGUUGGGUAACACUAACUGGAGGACCGAACCGACUAAUGUUGAAAAAUUAGCGGAUGACUUGUGGCUGGGGGUGAAAGGCCAAUCAAACCGGGAGAUAGCUGGUUCUCCCCGAAAGCUAUUUAGGUAGCGCCUCGUGAAUUCAUCUCCGGGGGUAGAGCACUGUUUCGGCAAGGGGGUCAUCCCGACUUACCAACCCGAUGCAAACUGCGAAUACCGGAGAAUGUUAUCACGGGAGACACACGGCGGGUGCUAACGUCCGUCGUGAAGAGGGAAACAACCCAGACCGCCAGCUAAGGUCCCAAAGUCAUGGUUAAGUGGGAAACGAUGUGGGAAGGCCCAGACAGCCAGGAUGUUGGCUUAGAAGCAGCCAUCAUUUAAAGAAAGCGUAAUAGCUCACUGGUCGAGUCGGCCUGCGCGGAAGAUGUAACGGGGCUAAACCAUGCACCGAAGCUGCGGCAGCGACGCUUAUGCGUUGUUGGGUAGGGGAGCGUUCUGUAAGCCUGCGAAGGUGUGCUGUGAGGCAUGCUGGAGGUAUCAGAAGUGCGAAUGCUGACAUAAGUAACGAUAAAGCGGGUGAAAAGCCCGCUCGCCGGAAGACCAAGGGUUCCUGUCCAACGUUAAUCGGGGCAGGGUGAGUCGACCCCUAAGGCGAGGCCGAAAGGCGUAGUCGAUGGGAAACAGGUUAAUAUUCCUGUACUUGGUGUUACUGCGAAGGGGGGACGGAGAAGGCUAUGUUGGCCGGGCGACGGUUGUCCCGGUUUAAGCGUGUAGGCUGGUUUUCCAGGCAAAUCCGGAAAAUCAAGGCUGAGGCGUGAUGACGAGGCACUACGGUGCUGAAGCAACAAAUGCCCUGCUUCCAGGAAAAGCCUCUAAGCAUCAGGUAACAUCAAAUCGUACCCCAAACCGACACAGGUGGUCAGGUAGAGAAUACCAAGGCGCUUGAGAGAACUCGGGUGAAGGAACUAGGCAAAAUGGUGCCGUAACUUCGGGAGAAGGCACGCUGAUAUGUAGGUGAAGUCCCUCGCGGAUGGAGCUGAAAUCAGUCGAAGAUACCAGCUGGCUGCAACUGUUUAUUAAAAACACAGCACUGUGCAAACACGAAAGUGGACGUAUACGGUGUGACGCCUGCCCGGUGC